CUCAGUUGGUAGAGCGCUCCACCUGUAAUGGAGAGGUCCCGGGUUCGAUACCCGGACCAGGCG
rnacentral:tRNA from 1 species